rnacentral:rRNA from 1 species
UCGGGAAUUUUGGGCAAUGGGCGAAACCCUGACCCAGCAACGCCGCGUGAAGGAUGAAGUAUUUCGGUAUGUAAACUUCGAAAGAAUAGGAAGAAUAAAUGACGGUACUAUUUAUAAGGUCCGGCUAACUACGUGCCAGCAGCCGCGGUAAUACGUAGGGACCAAGCGUUGUUCGGAUUUACUGGGCGUAAAGGGCGCGUAGGCGGCAUGACAAGUCACUUGUGAAAUCUCUGGGCUUAACCCAGAACGGCCAAGUGAUACUGUCGUGCUAGAGUGCAGAAGGGGCAAUCGGAAUUCUUGGUGUAGCGGUGAAAUGCGUAGAUAUCAAGAGGAACACCUGAGGUGAAGACGGGUUGCUGGGCUGACACUGACGCUGAGGCGCGAAAGCCAGGGGAGCAAACGGGAUUAGAUACCCAUGUAGUCCCUGAGCGGGCUGGCAAGGCGCAU